GAUGUCGAUCUCAACGUCGUCCUCAAGACCAUCCUCAUCAUCUCCACCCGAUCCUCCUCCAUCUUCCAAACCCGAGAGCUCCAAUGUAUCAGCAAUGGAAGGCACUGUCUUCAGGCCGUCCGGAGUGACGUCGGGCAACUUCUGACGGAGGAAGGCCCGGGCUUCUUUUAGAGCAUGGAAGUACGCCCCCGACGCGUACUCCCCUUUUAUCUUGUCGCAGUCCUCGGAGGUUUUAAACUCCUCCCAGGCCCUCUCCCUGACAGCCGCGAGCUCGCGCCCAAAAUCCUCUGUCUUCUGGAUAAGCUCGAGCCUCGCACCCUCGACCUCAUCCUUUGCUACAACAAGGUCAUCCCUGGACUUUGCAGCCUC
rnacentral:lncRNA from 1 species